CAACUACUCCCUCCGUUCGGAAUUACUCGUCCAAGAAAUAAAUGUAUCUAGAUGUAUUUUAGUUGUAGAUACAUCCAUUUUUGUGACAAGUAAUUCCGAACGGAGGGAGUAUUUU
rnacentral:pre_miRNA from 1 species